AAUUUAAUAGUUAAUUAUAUAAUAUUAAUUUGUCAUAUUAAAGUUAAUUUUUUUUAAUUUAAAUUU
rnacentral:tRNA from 1 species